rnacentral:rRNA from 1 species
GUGAGGAAUAUUGGUCAAUGGGCGAGAGCCUGAACCAGCCAAGUCGCGUGAAGGAAGAAGGAUCUAUGGUUCGUAAACUUCUUUUGCAGGGGAAUAAAGUGCGGGACGUGUCCUGUUUUGUAUGUACCCUGAGAAUAAGGAUCGGCUAACUCCGUGCCAGCAGCCGCGGUAAUACGGAGGAUCCGAGCGUUAUCCGGCUUUAGUGGGUUUAAAGGGUGCGUAGGUGGUUUGAUAAGUCAGCGGUGAAAGUUUGCAGCUUAACUGUAAAAAUGCCGUUGAAACUGGCGGACUUGAGUGUAAAUGAGGUAGGCGGAAUGCGUGGUGUAGCGGUGAAAUGCAUAGAUAUCACGCAGAACUCCGAUUGCGAAGGCAGCUUACUAAGCUACAACUGACACUGAAGCACGAAAGCGUGGGGAUCAAACAGGAUUAGAUACCCGGGUAGUCC